rnacentral:rRNA from 2 species
GAUUUCUGGCUUGAUGUACCUGUCCCUCUUGGGUUAACCAGGCUGUGUGACGGAGUAUGUCUGCCAUCCUUCUAGAGAAUACAAGCUAUCCUUCACUGGACCGGUUUGUGUCAUCUAGAUCUUUUACUUUGAAAAAAUUAGAGUGUUUCAAGCAGGCGUUUUGCUAUGAAUACAUUAGCAUGGAAUAAUGAGUUAGGACUUCGGUUCUAUUUUGUUGGUUUCUAGGACUGAAGUAAUGAUUGAUAGGGAUAGUUGGGGGUGCUAGUAUUCAGCGGCCAGAGGUGAAAUUCUUGGAUUCGCUGAAGACUAACUUAUGCGAAAGCAUU